rnacentral:rRNA from 1 species
AAGUCGAGCGGCAAGGGGGAGCAAUCCUCCNUAGAGCGGCGGACUGGUGAGUAACGCGUGGGUGACCUACCUUGAGGAUGGGGAUAGCCAUUAGAAAUAGUGGGUAAUACCGAAUACGGUUGUCUGGCUGUGGUUAGACAAAGAAAGGCGCUUAGGCGCCGCCUUAAGAUGGGCCCGCGUUCCAUUAGGUAGUUGGUGGGGUAAGGGCCUACCAAGCCUGAGAUGGGUAGCCGGCCUGAGAGGGUGAACGGCCACACUGGGACUGAGAUACGGCCCAGACUCCUACGGGAGGCAGCAGCUAAGAAUAUUCCGCAAUGGACGAAAGUCUGACGGGGCGACGCCGCGUGGAUGAGGAAGGCCGAAAGGUUGUAAAAUCCUUUUGCCGGUGAAGAAUAAGCGGGGGAGGGAAUGCCCCUGUGAUGACGUUAGCUGGUGAAUAAGCCCCGGCUAAUUACGUGCCAGCAGCCGCGGUAACACGUAAGGGGCGAGCGUUGUUCGGAAUUAUUGGGCGUAAAGGGCGCGUAGGCGGUUUUGCAAGCCUGGCGUGAAAUGGCAGGGCUUAACCCUGUCACGGCGCUGGGAACUGUGUAACUAGAGUCAUGGAGGGGGAGUUGGAAUUCCUGGUGUAGGGGUGAAAUCUGUAGAUAUCAGGAAGAACACCGGUGGCGAAGGCGAAC